UGGGGAAUAUUGCACAAUGGGCGCAAGCCUGAUGCAGCCAUGCCGCGUGUAUGAAGAAGGCCUUCGGGUUGUAAAGUACUUUCAGUCGGGAGGAAGGUGUCAAGGUUAAUAACCUUGGCAAUUGACGUUACCGACAGAAGAAGCACCGGCUAACUCCGUGCCAGCAGCCGCGGUAAUACGGAGGGUGCAAGCGUUAAUCGGAAUUACUGGGCGUAAAGCGCACGCAGGCGGUUGAUUGAGUCAGAUGUGAAAUCCCCGGGCUUAACCCGGGAAUUGCAUCUGAUACUGGUCAGCUAGAGUCGUGUAGAGGGGGGUAGAAUUCCAUGUGUAGCGGUGAAAUGCGUAGGGAUGUGGAGGAAUACCGGUGGCGAAGGCGGCCCCCUGGACAAAGACUGACGCUCAGGUGCGAAAGCGUGGGGAGCAAACAGG
rnacentral:rRNA from 1 species